AGACCCGAAACCCGGUGAUCUAGCCAUGGGCAGGUUGAAGGUUGGGUAACACUAACUGGAGGACCGAACCGACUAAUGUUGAAAAAUUAGCGGAUGACCUGUGGCUGGGGGUGAAAGGCCAAUCAAACCGGGAGAUAGCUGGUUCUCCCCGAAAGCUAUUUAGGUAGCGCCUCGUGAAUUCAUCUCCGGGGGUAGAGCACUGUUUCGGCUAGGGGGCCAUCCCGGCUUACCAACCCGAUGCAAACUGCGAAUACCGGAGAAUGUUAUCACGGGAGACACACGGCGGGUGCUAACGUCCGUCGUGAAGAGGGAAACAACCCAGACCGCCAGCUAAGGUCCCAAAGUCAUGGUUAAGUGGGAAACGAUGUGGGAAGGCCCAGACAGCCAGGAUGUUGGCUUAGAAGCAGCCAUCAUUUAAAGAAAGCGUAAUAGCUCACUGGUCGAGUCGGCCUGCGCGGAAGAUGUAACGGGGCUAAACCAUGCACCGAAGCUGCGGCAGCGACGCUGAUGCGUUGUUGGGUAGGGGAGCGUUCUGUAAGCCUGCGAAGGUGGCCUGUGAGGGUUGCUGGAGGUAUCAGAAGUGCGAAUGCUGACAUAAGUAACGAUAAAGCGGGUGAAAAGCCCGCUCGCCGGAAGACCAAGGGUUCCUGUCCAACGUUAAUCGGGGCAGGGUGAGUCGACCCCUAAGGCGAGGCCGAAAGGCGUAGUCGAUGGGAAACGGGUUAAUAUUCCCGUACUUGGUGUUACUGCGAAGGGGGGACGGAGAAGGCUAUGUUGGCCGGGCGACGGUUGUCCCGGUUUAAGCGUGUAGGUGUGUGUUCCAGGUAAAUCCGGUUCACUUUAACAC
rnacentral:rRNA from 3 species